rnacentral:lncRNA from 1 species
GCCCAGAACACAUGUGACUCCCAUGGACGAGGAGGAGAAUGAAGUGAACCAUGUGAGUGGGGAACAGGAGAGCCGAGUCCAGAAAGGAAAUGGCUAUUUCCAGGUGCCCCCCCACACCCCCGUGAUCUUUGGAGAAGCUGGAGGUCGCACACUUUUCAGGCUGCUCUGCCGGGACUCCGGGGGCGAGACCGAGGCAAUGCUUCUCAAUGAGACCGUGCCACAAUGGGUGAUCGACAUCACUGUGGAUAAAAAUAUGCCCAAAUUCAACAAAAUUCCUUUCUACCUCCAACCUCAUGCAUCUUCAGGAGCAAAAACUUUAAAAAAAGACAGACUGUCUGCCAGUGACAUGCUGCAGGUCCGGAAGGUGAUGGAACACGUCUACGAGAAGAUUAUCAACCUGGAUAACGAGUCCCAAACCACCAGCUCUUCUAAUAAUGAAAAACCAGAGCAGGAGAAGGAGGAGGACAUUGCUGUGUUGGCAGAGGAGAAAAUUGAGCUUCUGUGCCAGGACCAGGUUUUGGACCCCAAUAUGGACCUUCGGACAGUAAAGCACUUCAUAUGGAAGAGUGGUGGGGACCUCACCCUCCAUUACCGUCAGAAGUCCACGUGAAGAGUGGGCCCAUGCUCCUGGGUUCUUUACCAACCACCUUCCUCUGUGGCCCCAAGAGUAGUCCUAGGAAGCCCACCACGUCCUACGGGAACAAGACCUCCAACCGGCCAAUGGAGAUGUAUUAUAGAAACCAGGCUCCACGCAUAGAUUAAGGUGUCCCCAGGGACUCGAGUGCAAAGACAGAAAAGCCCUGGCACUGUUCUGGGAGAUGCAGAGAAUCUACAACAGGCAGUGCAGACUUCGCUGACUCCUUGUGAAGGACCCACCUUUGUCUCUUAGCACUUGUUAGAGAACAUCAGCGGGGCCACAUCUGUUCGCCGUGGUUCCGUUUCAAACCCACAAGUUCUGCAGCUUUGUCCAAGUACAUUCCACUCAUGCAGUACCUAUGAAGGCUUUUUCCAAAUUUGUCAUUACAAAAAUUAAGUUGUUUUCACCAUAUGAGAGUUAUUUUUAAUGGAAAUCACUGUUGGACAAUCCAAGAGCCAGCCUAUUUCCUAAAAAAUGACCACGCUGGGCUACUUCUGAAAUACCGCAUCUCAGCCACACUCUUGUAGGAAGACCUUCCGCAACUCCAGGGACCUUGGACCUCCAGGCAGUAACAGCUGGUGUGUGUUGUGCAGUGCUGCCCCAUAGUGCCCUGGCUGUACGAUAGCCCAAGAUAGCCUAAGCCGCUGUGGCCACUCCUUCCUUCCGCCAGCACCGCCUUCCUCACAGGCAGAGCCAGCGAGAACCACAGCUUCCUGCUCUGGGUGAGCAGCCUGCCGACUGUCAGGACUUAAGACCAUGCUGAAGUUUGAGUUUCAUUCAAAUGCUGAAGUUUUGUGUUACUAGAGUAAAAAGAUCUCACAGUGAGCUGGUUUGAUAUUUAUAUUGUGGUCCAUGUUUGUUUUUCCAGUUUUAUACACGGGCUUUUGUUACGCCUUCGUCCAGGUCUUUCCGCUGUCUUUCUAACAGUCAAAAGCUUUCAUAGACUCACUUGGAUCUUGUACAGAAUAUUUAACUUAUUGGGGAUAAACACUUCAACUUUUGGCAAAAGAUACUUUGGAUUCUUCCCUUGGUCAUUUACAUCCAGACAGAUGAAACUUUGAGCACAGCGGAAGCACACGUGCCUUGGGAGGGCAGCGUACACCGUCCAGCUGUCCGUGCCUUGUGUGUGGUCUGUCCCCACAGGAGCAGGGUGAGGGGGCCUGGGGAAGGGUUUUUCCUCGUCUCUACAUCUUCACAGGUUCUACUGGAGACAGCUGAAGGGCCCAGAUCCAUCCCUUACAAACCAAGGCACUAAUCCGUACAACUACAGAGCAGGGCCCCUCACAAUAACUGUGGGAACAUACAUGCCAUGGCUUCCACACCCUCCAGUGAGCAAGGACAUCCCAGGGGUUAAACCGUUCUCCCUCCCCAGAGCAGCCAGCUUCUUUUUUUUACAGAAGUUCUUUCUAUCUGUGUUGGACAACAGUGCACUUUUGGUGCAUAUUUUUUAGUGAUAGCUGUAAGCGAAAAGCCAGGGGUGGGUGGGGUGUUUGCAGGAGGGGCCUCUGCACUAAGAGUAGGUUUUGCUGGUUGGCUCAGGCAGUACUGAUCCACAGGCAGUUGUGCCCCUGUGGAGAGUUUACCCCCAGCAUGGUUGUACUUCUUUCCCCUCUUGUCAAAAAUCAGUAAUAAGUUUCCAGAAAAUUGGACAGUCUGCAAUGCCAAAAGGGUCAGAAUCUGUAUUUCAAGUCGUAUAGAAUAAAGCUUUAGUUACAAACA